rnacentral:rRNA from 1 species
CGGGGUGAGUAACGCGUGGGUAACCUGCCUCAUACAGGGGAGUAACAGUUAGAAAUGACUGCUAAUACCGCAUAAGCGCACAGUGCUGCAUGGCACAGUGUGAAAAACUCCGGUGGUAUGAGAUGGACCCGCGUCUGAUUAGGUAGUUGGUGGGGUAACGGCCUACCAAGCCGACGAUCAGUAGCCGACCUGAGAGGGUGACCGGCCACAUUGGGACUGAGACACGGCCCAA